GGCGAACGCUGGCGGCGUGCUUAACACAUGCAAGUCGAACGGAGCGAAAUGGAAGCUUGCUUCUAUGGAGCUUAGUGGCGAACGGGUGAGUAACGCGUAAUCAACCUGCCCUUCAGAGGGGGACAACAGUUGGAAACGACUGCUAAUACCGCAUACGAUUCAACUUCGGCAUCGAGGAUGAAAUGAAAGGUGGCCUCUAUUUAUAAGCUAUCGCUGAAGGAGGGGAUUGCGUCUGAUUAGCUAGUUGGAGGGGUAACGGCCACCAAGGCGAUGAUCAGUAGCCGGUCUGAGAGGAUGAACGGCCACAUUGGGACUGAGACACGGCCCAG
rnacentral:rRNA from 1 species